rnacentral:rRNA from 1 species
UGUCUGGGAAACUGCCUGAUGAGGGGGAUAACUACUGGAAACGGUAGCUAAUACCGCAUAACGUCGCAAGACCAAANAGGGGGACCUUCGGGCCUCUUGCCAUCGGAUGUGCCCAGAUGGGAUUAGCUAGUAGGUGGGGUAACGGCUCACCUAGGCGACGAUCCCUAGCUGGUCUGAGAGGAUGACCAGCCACACUGGAACUGAGACACGGUCCAGACUCCUACGGGAGGCAGCAUG